AGUCCUUGUUACGUGUCUGGUGACGUUAAGCCAACAACUAUCGAUGGAGGACUGGUUCCAGUCGUCGGGACUCGGGUUAGUUUGUACGUUAUCAGUCUUGUGGUAGCAGGAACGCAUGAAAUCCAACUAGUACUGUGAAUGGUUCCGUUUACAGCUGGAUCUUCACUUACUGAAUUUUGUUAUCUAAAGUGGGGUUUAUUCCACCGAUCUCUAACAUGAACACUAAACUCGGUAAUAUGAAGGUAAAAGCGAACGGUCUUGACCAUGGAGAAAGAGGCCAGGUAAUUUAGUUUCAAGAGGUGCCCAGGCAGGACUAAGUGGGGAACCAAAAUCGGCCAUACAAUGUUCCUGUGCAUAGUACUGCUUUGUUUUUGACUUGAGACAAGCAUCGUAACUACUUCGUUUGUAUCAGUAAAGGAAUGGAUAUGAAGAUUGUUCUUAGCUUUUAAUCAAAAUGUUUUACUUUGUAAAUGAAUAUAAAUUGACUAAAAUGUUUUAUGAUCCUAGGUCGUUAACUUAUUUUCCAGUUGGUUUUAAGAGUUUGUAUUGACCUGAUUUCCCUUGAUUGUCAUACUGUGGUCUUGUUUCCUCAUUGGAGAUGUUUUCCAUAUCUCCUUUCAAAGGUUCCUGUUUGGCUUUCAAAUCUUGAGGAUUAAUUCGUUACAUUCCUGAAAAUUGUAUUUUCACAAGAUUUCUGCUUAUUAUUAAAGUAUUGUAACAUAA